GCCAUGCGAGUUGUCGUUUCUAGGCCAUGGUGGAUACGUAGCGUACGGCUCAGUAUCAUGUGGCUAACUUACCCUUGAGACGAGGAUAACCCCGGGAAACUGGGGCUAAUACUCGAUAGGUGGGGAGGCUUGGAAUAGUUCUCCACUCAAAAGUGAUUGAGACCAUGCUUCUCGAUCUCGCUUAAGGAUAGGGCCGCACCCGAUCAGGUUGCUGGUGAGGUAACGGCUCACCAGGCCUAUAACCGGUACGGGCCGUGAGAGCGGGAGCCCGGAGAUGGGCACUGAGAUAAGGGCCCAGGUCCUACGGGGCGCAGCAGGCGCGAAACCUCCGCAAUGUGCGGAAGCAUGACGGGGUCAUCCCGAGUGUCACCCGCUGAGGGUGACUUUUGCCUGGUGUAACGAGCCGGGCGAAUAAGCGGGGGGCAAAA
rnacentral:rRNA from 1 species